UCUGGUGCUACUUCCGGAGGGGCCACACCUGUUCCCAUCCCGAACACAGCCGUUAAGACCUCCUGGGCCGAUGGUAGUCCGAUAGGGCGAGAGUAGGUCAGCGCCAGAA
rnacentral:rRNA from 1 species